GAUGAACGCUAGCGAUAGGCUUAACACAUGCAAGUCGAGGGGCAGCAUGGUCUUAGCUUGCUAAGGCUGAUGGCGACCGGCGCACGGGUGCGUAACGCGUAUGCAACUUGCCUCACAGAGGGGGAUAACCCGUCGAAAGACGGACUAAUACCGCGUACACUCUAUGUUGGGCAUCCAAUGUAGAGGAAAUGAAAUUCGCUGUGAGAUAGGCAUGCGUCCCAUUAGCUAGUUGGUGAGGUAACGGCUCACCAAGGCGACGAUGGGUAGGGGAACUGAGAGGUUGAACCCCCACACUGGUACUGAGACACGGACCAGACUCCUACGGGAGGCAGCAGUGAGGAAUAUGGGUCAAUGGGCGAGAGCCUGAACCAGCCAAGUCGCGUGAAGGAUGACUGUCUUAUGGAUUGUAAACUUCUUUUAGACGGGAAUAACAAGAGUCACGUGUGGCUCCCUGCAUGUACCGUAUGAAUAAGCAUCGGCUAACUCCGUG
rnacentral:rRNA from 1 species